rnacentral:rRNA from 1 species
AGAGUUUGAUCCUGGCUCAGGACGAACGCUGGCGGCGUGCUUAACACAUGCAAGUCGAACGGUAAGGCCCCUUCGGGGGUACACGAGUGGCGAACGGGUGAGUAACACGUGGGUAAUCUGCCUGCACUUCGGGAUAAGCCUGGGAAACUGGGUCUAAUACUGGAUAUGACUCCUGGCCGCAUGGUCUGGGAGUGGAAAGUUUUUCGGUGCAGGAUGAGCCCGCGGCCUAUCAGCUUGUUGGUGGGGUAAUGGCCUACCAAGGCGACGACGGGUAGCCGGCCUGAGAGGGUGAUCGGCCACACUGGGACUGAGACACGGCCCAGACUCCUACGGGAGGCAGCAGUGGGGAAUAUUGCACAAUGGGCGGAAGCCUGAUGCAGCGACGCCGCGUGGGGGAUGACGGUCUUCGGAUUGUAAACCCCUUUCAGUAGGGACGAAGCGCAAGUGACGGUACCUGCAGAAGAAGCACCGGCUAACUACGUGCCAGCAGCCGCGGUAAUACGUAGGGUGCGAGCGUUGUCCGGAAUUACUGGGCGUAAAGAGCUCGUAGGCGGUUUGUCACGUCGUCUGUGAAAUCCCUCGGCUUAACCGGGGGCGUGCAGGCGAUACGGGCAGACUUGAGUACUACAGGGGAGACUGGAAUUCCUGGUGUAGCGGUGAAAUGCGCAGAUAUCAGGAGGAACACCGGUGGCGAAGGCGGGUCUCUGGGUAGUAACUGACGCUGAGGAGCGAAAGCAUGGGUAGCGAACAGGAUUAGAUACCCUGGUAGUCCAUGCCGUAAACGGUGGGCGCUAGGUGUGGGGUCCUUCCACGGACUCCGUGCCGUAGCUAACGCAUUAAGCGCCCCGCCUGGGGAGUACGGCCGCAAGGCUAAAACUCAAAGGAAUUGACGG